UACGAAGGGGGCUAGCGUUGUUCGGAAUUACUGGGCGUAAAGCGCGCGCAGGCGGUUCUCCAAGUCAGUGGUGAAAGCCCGGAGCUCAACUCCGGAAAUGCCAUUGAAACUGUUGAACUUGAGGACGAGAGAGGUGAGUGGAAUUCCCAGUGUAGAGGUGAAAUGCGUAGAUAUCGGGAGGAACACCUGUGGCGAAAGCGGCUCACUGGACCACAACUGACGCUGAGGCGCGAAAGCUAGGGGAGCAAACAGG
rnacentral:rRNA from 1 species